CAGACGGGGGCGAUAAGGCGAGGAAUAGAACAGACGAAGGAAGAGGAGAAGGAUGAACGCUCCGGAUCGUUACGAGCGCUUCGUCGUGCCCGAGGGCACCAAGAAAACAUCUUCACUGGCCGAUUGGACUCUCGAUGAACUUGUUAUGUGCGAGAUUUAUCAUCGAUUCUUUGGUGUCUUAAUCCCGUACUAUUUCUUCUGUGGGGAGAAAAUUUUAGGGUUUCGUAUGAGAGGGACACCAAGAUCGUCAAUGCGGCCUCCUUCACUGUUGAGCGCGAAGAUCACACGAUCGGAAACAUCCUCCGAAUGCAGCUGCAUAGAGACCCCAUUGUUCUCUUCGCUGGCUACAAGCUUCCGCAUCCCCUCCAGUACAAGAUCAUAGUUAGGAUCCAAACGACCAGCCAGUCUUCCCCGACACAGGCCUAUAGUCAGGCAAUCGACGACCUAGACAAGGAGCUUGACUAUCUGAAGAAGGGUUUUGAGGAUGAGAAGACCAGGUUUGAAGAAAAGCUAAGGCAGGGUUAUUAGGUCUAUUGUAUGGCCGAUAAGCAUGAAGCACACAAUCAAUCUAUUUCAAGUAUCUUUUGGUUACGGAGUUGAGCAAAUGUAAAUCCACACGCAAUGCAUCAUAUAUGAACUUCAACACUAUGUUCUAGAUUUUGCAGAGACAUUGGAUCAUAACUAAAAUGUUAAUGGUAUGGUCUGAAGUUAAAAGAUAUGAUUAUUGAGUUGGAUUAUAGAUAUUC